AGGGUAGUAGCUCUAACGGCUAGAGCAGCGGUCUCCAAAACCGCUCGCUGGGGGUUCGAAUCCCUCCUACCCUGCCA
rnacentral:tRNA from 1 species